CCGCCGCUGGCAGGACCGCGGGGCCACCGGCGCUGCCCCCUCCGUCCCCGCGGGAAGAGAGGGGUCCCCUCCGCGGGCCGUGCCUCGGAGGGCAGAGCUGCCCCCACGCUGGCUCCCGACGGCUGGCAGCCACAGCAGCCCGGCCACAAAAAGUUUCGCGGCGCCCAAAGCGACUUGAAAGAAAGUUUUCCUUGGCCCCUCGCUGCCUCUCCCCCAGCCAGGGUUUUCGGAAAGCGGCAGGCAAGCAGAGAUCGCGACGUGCCGACUCCCGCGUCCACCUUCUCCACCCCUGGCCUCGGCUGCGCGCCCAAGCGUCACUCCUCAGGGAAACCGUAGUAGCCAACAAGCUUGGAGCUGCUGGAGUUUCCAAAGCCCUCUGGAUCCUGUAGUCCUCCACGCUAGCCUCGGAACAGCGCUGCUGACCCGGCUCGCUCCGGAGUGCCAGACCUGAACUGUCGGGAACAAAACCCUCCCUGAGAGAGAGUUAAGCAACUAAGCUGAGCUUUGUAACCUGGGCCACAGACCAGCUCCCACGAAGAAGGUGGUGAGAAGAAAGGGCAUUCUGCCACCAAAAAGACAGUGACCAGAGAAUACACCAUCACCGUUCACAAGUGCAUCCCUGGAGGUGUGCCCCUUGAGUGCUGAAGGAGAUCCAGAAAUGUGCCAUGAGGGAGUGGGAGCUUCAGAUGUGUGCACUGAUACAGGACUCAACAAAGCUGUCUGGGCUAAAAGAAUAAGGAAUGUCCCUACAAUGGAAUACUAUGUGGCAAUGAGAAAGAACGAAAUCUGGCCAUGUGUAGCAGCGUGGAUGGAACUUGAGAG